rnacentral:misc_RNA from 1 species
AGGAGCCAGUUACCUCCUGCAGAUUCCAGCGUCGACGAGGUUGAGAAGACCGUUCAGUCCGAGGCCGUUGACUCCAGUUCACAAGAUUGGAAGGCGAGGCUAAAGAUACCACCACCUGAUACACGCUACAAAACAGAGGAUGUGACGGCCACAAAAGGAAAUGAAUUUGAGGACUAUUUUCUGAAACGUGAAUUGCUUAUGGGAAUCUAUGAGAAGGGGUUUGAAAGACCAUCCCCUAUCCAGGAAGAAAGCAUACCAAUUGCUCUUACUGGAAGUGAUAUUCUUGCUAGAGCUAAAAAUGGAACUGGGAAAACAGCA